UACGGAGGGUGCAAACGUUGCUCGGAAUCAUUGGGCGUAAAGCGCACGUAGGCGGUCCAGUAAGUCGGGUGUGAAAGCCCUCGGCUCAACCCAGGAAGUGCAUUCGAAACUGCAGAGCUGGAGUCCUGGAGAGGAAGGCGGAAUUCUCGGUGUAGAGGUGAAAUUCGUAGAUAUCGAGAGGAACACCGGUGGCGAAGGCGGCCUUCUGGACAGUGACUGACGCUGAGACGCGAAAGCGUGGGGAGCAAACAGG
rnacentral:rRNA from 1 species